UCCAUUAAAAACUUAUUACCUCAUCAAUCUUUAACAAGCUAUAUUAUCUAUAUAAUGGUUUAACUCUUGGAUAGUUUAAGACAUAUGAUCAAGACUCAUCUCCAAUUUUUGAUCUAAAAGGUGUUACAAAAUGAAGCUUCAAAGUGUUACAGUAAUACUUAUAAUCGCAACCAUAUGUGUGAUUGGCAAUAUGAAAGCUUUGGGAGUGAAUAUAGAAGAGAAGCUUGGAACCCCCCAACCUAAAGAAAACGAAUAUGAAAGUGCUCCAUUGUCUUCUACCAAUUCUCACCAUGAGAUUCCAUUGUAUAAAUAUGUCCCUCCAUGAGAAAAUAGCUAUAUAGGAGAAGAAAUAAUGGGCUAAUAUAUGUUCAAGUAUGAAAUAAAUUAUCUAUGAUCUUUAGUCUUGCGAACGAUGUGGUUAUGUUAUGUACGCAUGUAGAGUAGUAGUUCUCACCUCGUGGUGUAUGAUUCGAUUCUCACUGGCUAGGGAGAUUGUGCUACUUGUACAUGGCCAAUAUGGGUAUGUUUUGUAUGUCUUGUACGAGUCAUACCUUAAAUUAGUGACAUGUACUUGUAAGCAAUAUGUACGUAUUAGUAUUUGGUGGAAUAAUGUCCCUUUGUAAGUUUUAAAGAUUGGUAAGGCUCUAUAAAAUUACAAGUCCUACUCAAUUAUGUUACAAAGUUUACCAAUCUGA